CCUUCCCCACCCAGGGCCUCUGUUCUGCUCAGGAACACGGGCUUCGGCCUCGGGACCUGUUUUCACUGCCUCAGGGCCACCGCCUUUCCUCAUUUCCUUGAGAAAAAAGAAAGCUGCCUGCGAUUUUGCAACCAUGUUCCCAGGAGAAAAGGCUGCGGGACUCAGUUGAACGCAGGCAGAGCAAGAAUGGGGUGCAUUUCCAAGGCCAGGAGUCAGAGCUCAGCUCCGUGGGGGCGGCGCCUGCUUGGCUGACCCGCGUGUGCAAACCUAGUCCAGCCAGCACCGCGGCCCGGGCCCGGGUGUGCACGCGGGCACCGCGCUUGGUCAUGUGCGAGGGUGUGGGUGCCCCGGACGUUGAUCAUAGCACGACCAGGUCGGCAUUCUCCAGCUCCCCGCGGUCCGACAUCCCGAACAGCACCCCGGCCUUGAGCUCGCGCACCAGCAGCUGGAAGUGGACGGUCUCCUGCGCGUAGCUGAC